rnacentral:tRNA from 1 species
GAGGGGGAACAUGUAGACCUGCUAAGUCCACGUCCCAGGACUGACCCCCUGGCC